CCUACGGGAGGCAGCAGUGAGGAAUAUUGGUCAAUGGACGAGAGUCUGAACCAGCCAAGUAGCGUGAAGGAUGACUGCCCUAUGGGUUGUAAACUUCUUUUAUAAAGGAAUAAAACGAGGCACGUGUGCCUUUUUGCAUGUACUUUAUGAAUAAGGAUCGGCUCACUCAGUGCCAGCAGACGCGGUAAUACGGAGGAUCCGAGCGUUAUCCGGAUUUAUUGGGUUGAAAGGGAACGUAGAUGGGGUGUUAAGUCAGUUGUUAAAGUUUGCGGCUCAACCGUAAAAUUGCAAUUGAUACUGGCAGUCUUGAGUACAGUUGAGGUAGGCGGAAUUCGUGGUGUAGCGGUGAAAUGCUUAGAUAUCACGAAGAACCCCGAUUGCGAAGGCAGCUUACUAAACUGUGACUGACAUUGAUGCUCGAAAGUGUGGGUAUCAAACAGGAUUAGAUACCCCAGUAGUC
rnacentral:rRNA from 1 species